GACGAACGCUGGCGGCGUGCUUAACACAUGCAAGUCGAACGCUGAAGCUCAGCUUUUGUUGGGUGGAUGAGUGGCGAACGGGUGAGUAACACGUGAGUAACCUGCCUCCUUCUUUGGGAUAACGCCCGGAAACGGGUGCUAAUACUGGAUAUUCACUGGUCUUCGCAUGGGGGUUGGUGGAAAGGGUUUUUCUGGUGGGGGAUGGGCUCGCGGCCUAUCAGCUUGUUGGUGGGGUGAUGGCCUACCAAGGCUUUGACGGGUAGCCGGCCUGAGAGGGUGACCGGUCACAUUGGGACUGAGAUACGGCCCAGACUCCUACGGGAGGCAGCAGUGGGGAAUAUUGCACAAUGGGCGCAAGCCUGAUGCAGCGACGCCGCGUGAGGGAUGGAGGCCUUCGGGUUGUGAACCUCUUUCGCUCAUGGUCAAGCCGCAACAAUGGUUGUGGUGAGGGUGGUGGGUAAAGAAGCGCCGGCUAACUACGUG
rnacentral:rRNA from 1 species